rnacentral:rRNA from 1 species
UGGGGAAUUUUGGACAAUGGGCGAAAGCCUGAUCCAGCAAUGCCGCGUGUGUGAAGAAGGCCUUCGGGUUGUAAAGCACUUUUGUCCGGAAAGAAAUCCUUGGCUCUAAUACAGUCGGGGGAUGACGGUACCGGAAGAAUAAGCACCGGCUAACUACGUGCCAGCAGCCGCGGUAAUACGUAGGGUGCAAGCGUUAAUCGGAAUUACUGGGCGUAAAGCGUGCGCAGGCGGUUUGCUAAGACCGAUGUGAAAUCCCCGGGCUCAACCUGGGAACUGCAUUGGUGACUGGCAGGCUAGAGUAUGGCAGAGGGGGGUAGAAUUCCACGUGUAGCAGUGAAAUGCGUAGAGAUGUGGAGGAAUACCGAUGGCGGAGGCAGCCCCCUGGGCCAAUACUGACGCUCAUGCACGAAAGCGUGGGGAGCAAACAGGAUUAGAUACCCUGGUAGUCCACGCCCUAAACGGUGUCAACUAGUUGUUGGGGAUUCAUUUUCCUUAGUAACGUAGCUAACGCGUGAAGUUGACCGCCUGGGGGAGUACGGUCGCAAGAUUAAAGCUUAAAUGAAUUGACGGGGUCAUAGCUGUUUCCU